rnacentral:siRNA from 1 species
UGAGAAGCAGAAGAUUGUUGGU